rnacentral:rRNA from 1 species
ACGGGGAGCAGCAGGCGCGAAACCUUUACACUGCACGACAGCGCGAUAAGGGGAUCCCCAGUGCGGGGGCAUACAGUCCUCGCUUUUCUACACCGUAAGGUGGUGCAGGAAUAAGAGCUGGGCAAGACCGGUGCCAGCCGCCGCGGUAAUACCGGCAGCUCAAGUGAUGGCCGCUAUUAUUGGGCCUAAAGCGUCCGUAGCCGGCCGAACAGGUCCGUCGGGAAAUCUGCUCGCUCAACGAGCAGGCGUCCGGCGGAAACCAGUCGGCUUGGGGCCGGAAGACCCGAGGGGUACGUCCGGGGUAGGAGUGAAAUCCCGUAAUCCCGGACGGACCGCCGGUGGCGAAGCGCCUCGGGAAGACGGACCCGACGGUGAGGGACGAAAGCUAGGGUCACGAACCGGAUUAGAUACCCGGGUAGUCCUAGCCGUAAACGAUGCCCACUAGGUGUGGCACAGGCUA